rnacentral:rRNA from 1 species
UCUGGAGGGCGCAAGCGUUGUUCGGAAUCACUGGGCGUAAAGCGCGUGUAGGCGGCUUUGCAAGUCGGGUGUGAAAUCCCGAGGCUCAACCUCGGAACUGCACUCGAUACUGCUUGGCUCGAGUCCCGGAGAGGGUGGCGGAAUUCCCGGUGUAGGGGUGAAAUCCGUAGAUAUCGGGAGGAACACCAGUGGCGAAGGCGGCCACCUGGACGGUGACUGACGCUGAGACGCGAAAGCGUGGGGAGCAAACAGG